AGACCCGAAACCCGGUGAUCUAGCCAUGGGCAGGUUGAAGGUUGGGUAACACUAACUGGAGGACCGAACCGACUAAUGUUGAAAAAUUAGCGGAUGACCUGUGGCUGGGGGUGAAAGGCCAAUCAAACCGGGAGAUAGCUGGUUCUCCCCGAAAGCUAUUUAGGUAGCGCCUCGUGAAUUCAUCUCCGGGGGUAGAGCACUGUUUCGGCUAGGGGGCCAUCCCGGCUUACCAACCCGAUGCAAACUGCGAAUACCGGAGAAUGUUAUCACGGGAGACACACGGCGGGUGCUAACGUCCGUCGUGAAGAGGGAAACAACCCAGACCGCCAGCUAAGGUCCCAAAGUCAUGGUUAAGUGGGAAACGAUGUGGGAAGGCCCAGACAGCCAGGAUGUUGGCUUAGAAGCAGCCAUCAUUUAAAGAAAGCGUAAUAGCUCACUGGUCGAGUCGGCCUGCGCGGAAGAUGUAACGGGGCUAAACCAUGCACCGAAGCUGCGGCAGCGAACGUAUCACCCAAGACAACUUUACGGAGUUGACGAUUGACGGAGCGAAGCGACGUCAAAGCGUUCAUUAAAGUCGAGUUGGCUUAGGGAUACGUUCGUUGGGUAGGGGAGCGUUCUGUAAGCCUGUGAAGGUGUGUCGUGAGGCAUGCUGGAGGUAUCAGAAGUGCGAAUGCUGACAUAAGUAACGAUAAAGCGGGUGAAAAGCCCGCUCGCCGGAAGACCAAGGGUUCCUGUCCAACGUUAAUCGGGGCAGGGUGAGUCGACCCCUAAGGCGAGGCCGAAAGGCGUAGUCGAUGGGAAACGGGUUAAUAUUCCCGUACUUGGUGUUACUGCGAAGGGGGGACGGAGAAGGCUAUGUUGGCCGGGCGACGGUUGUCCCGGUUUAAGCGUGUAGGUGUGUGUUCCAGGUAAAUCCGGUUCACUUUAACACUGAGGCGUGACGACGAGGCACUACGGUGCUGAAGCAACAAAUGCCCUGCUUCCAGGAAAAGCCUCUAAGCAUCAGGUAACAUCAAAUCGUACCCCAAACCGACACAGGUGGUCAGGUAGAGAAUACCAAGGCGCUUGAGAGAACUCGGGUGAAGGAACUAGGCAAAAUGGUGCCGUAACUUCGGGAGAAGGCACGCUGACACGUAGGUGAAGUGAUUUACUCAUGGAGCUGAAGUCAGUCGAAGAUACCAGCUGGCUGCAACUGUUUAUUAAAAACACAGCACUGUGCAAACACGAAAGUGGACGUAUACGGUGUGACGCCUGCCCGGUGCCGGAAGGUUAAUUGAUGGGGUCAGCGCAAGCGAAGCUCCUGAUCGAAGCCCCGGUAAACGGCGGCCGUAACUAUAACGGUCCUAAGGUAGCGAAAUUCCUUGUCGGGUAAGUUCCGACCUGCACGAAUGGCGUAAUGAUGGCCAGGCUGUCUCCACCCGAGACUCAGUGAAAUUGAACUCGCUGUGAAGAUGCAGUGUACCCGCGGCAAGACGGAAAGACCCCGUGAACCUUUACUAUAGCUUGACACUGAACAUUGAGCCUUGAUGUGUAGGAUAGGUGGGAGGCUUUGAAGUGUGGACGCCAGUCUGCAUGGAGCCGACCUUGAAAUACCACCCUUUAAUGUUUGAUGUUCUAACGUGGGCCCGUUA
rnacentral:rRNA from 1 species